UUGCCUCUGGAAGAGAUAUGGAUCAGGACAUGUGAAGACAUGCACAUUUAGUUCACCUGAGUGUGUUUCGCUAGAACUCUGAAAGGAAAUUGCUUAUUAAGAUGGCUGAACAUAAUAGGGAAAAUAGCUGCAAAGCAGAUCACCAAGACCAGGCAUACCAGCAGAAAACUGUAAUGAAUUACAACUGUUGGUAAUUGACUGAUAGGCGCAGUGCAGGCUCUUUUAAAGGCAUUGGAAUUCACAGUGUGGCUCCCACAUGGACUUGAAGGAAUGCAUCUUUCAUGGCAAUAGUGUUAAGUAUAAACCUUGAAUUCCAGCUGUCCUCUUUGUAUUCAGGGGCAAAUUAUCACCGUCCUCAUGAGAAACUGCAUCGAGAAAUAGUUCCCUUUUUGUUUCUUGUGAUUACUUGCCCUCCUGCUGCAAUAAUAGCAUGAGACAUAACAUGUAAUCAUCAGGAAAAGGUGGAUGGUUUCAUGAGAAAUAGUUAUGGCACCUCAGUCAAUCAGUCUGUAACAGUAUCUGAAUGAGGAAAAGCUGCUUCCUGCAGGACUGAAUUUCUGCCACCUACUGGGAGAAGGAAAUCUAGUUUAGCGAAAAGUUGUCCUUAUAAGCCUGGAUAUGGAAGUCCUUUACUUUUCUCAGAACAGGCAGCAUAUUUCUUGGAAAGGACUUGGAACACUGUCACCAAUCAGCUUAGUCAUCAGCUGCGAUGAUUCUGUCAAGUACAGAUUUUUUUUGUCUUCUAGUUUAUUUUAUUUUAUUAACCUUUUUUAAAUCCUGAUACAUAUUUCAUUUUCACAACACUUUUUAACUUCCUGUUUUAGAAAUAAAUGAAAUUUGGAAGCUGCUUUAUAUAGGUGAUGUUACUUCAUCUCCGGACUGAAGAUGUGUAAGCCCAUCUUUUAAUCAUAUUCACCUUUUAACAUUCACUGUUAUCAUCAUUUUCCUUUUUGCUUUCAUUUUUAAUAUGCAUUGUAUCCUGUUAAGAUUUCUUCAGCAUUUUCCUUUGGGUAGGUUAUGUUUUUUAUUAGGGAUAGAAGUCUUCUAGUAGGGCAGUGUGUCACCUGCGCUUAACAGUCUGAUCAUUAUGGUUGUACUGCAAAGUCAUGUGUUUUCUUUUAUUUCCUAUAUUUUUCUUUCAUUUACUGCCCAAAUCAUCCUCUCUAAGAAGCAGACACUUACCAACAAAUUCUUUUUCCAGUGUACCUAAGAAGACAUUAAUGAAAUAAUAAAUAGAUUGAAUUGCUGGAAUUAGCUACAACUGUGUUAUCAGGCAGGUAAACCUAGUCAUCUAUUUAAAAGUCUCUUAGCCACAUUUCAUUUGUAGAGGUCUUUCUAUUGAGAAUCCAUCCCAUGUAGUCUGGUGGCCAUCUGAACUAAGUUGUGCGCCUCUCGUUAGCUUUCAGAUACUGGAAAUCCUCCUCCUUCUAGACCUUGGAAGAGACUUUAUCCUGCCCCGAAUCUCCUGAUACUAGUAACUGAGCUUCCCGUGAAUCCACUGGUGCCCAGGAAAUCCUCCUCCCACAUUCAGAGCAAUUCAGAGGAUAGCUACCCCCAGGAGCUUUAUCUUUGUCUUUGAGGAGAUACAAAGCAAGUGAGCUGGGAGGAGAUUGACUGCCCCAUACCCUGUCAGACCAUACUUGAAAUUAUUGAUGGAAAGUAUUGUUGAAAAUGUACAAGUUUGUAAAACUUUACUGUUAUUCUUCCACUCCAUAGGCAACAUUUUACCCAGUAUUUCACACUAGUCGUAACUAUCUGUUGCUAAAGGAGUGGCAAUAUAUUUGCAGUUAUGGAUACCUUCUGCAGUGAAAUGCAAUGUUACAGUAGUAAUUUACAUCCUCUCUAGUAUGGUAAUCAGUGCCAUUAUCUGAGUGUAAAAAGCUGAAAUUUGUGUAGCUAUAUUGCACAUCAUGGAUUUCAGAGUUUAAACGAUGCCUGUCCUGGGCUAUCUAAGCAGUCAUUUAAACUUGAGACAAAUUAAUUUUGAUGUACUUAUUUCAAAACAUCCCUGCAUCAAUGUAUUGAGCUGGAAGAUUAUUAUCCAAAAGACUCAUACUUUUAUUUACAAUGGUUUAUCAUUUCUCUCACUAAUCAAUAUGUGCUACAGGCAAAUUAUGUGUUUAAUGGGCUAUUGAUGCUCAAAUUAAAAAAAAAAAAAAAAAAAAAGAAAAAGAAAAAGGUGGUGUAAAUGCUGAGGCAGUAUCAAAACAAGCCCAGUUGGUUGUUGUCUGUUGCUAAAACGCUUGCUUUCUCAAUCUGUGCACCACUUCUAUUGAAUUUUAUUGCUUGAAGGAAUAUUUGGAAAAGCUGGGCAUCCCUCUUUAGCAAAACUUUGAAUACAGGGAACCCCUGGGUCCCCCUCCAUUUUUGAUGCCAUGUGUAAAUGGAUGACGGGGCUGGGUCCUUUGAACAAAGUCUGUACUCCCUCCAAGCUGCACAUGUAGCAGAUGAGCGACCUCUUCCUGCCAGACAGAUUUCUUGUACCUGAAGAAUAUACAAAAUUAGUUCAUGAUUUUACUACAAUGUCUCAAAAGGACAUUUUGCUUCAGAAUCAGGCUUAACUUUCUUCAUAGUUCAUGCUAAAGUCCCAUUCUGUUACUUUUUUUAAAGCAUAGGGUAUUAACCACUGUUUGUAUUACCAACUACUCAUUUUUCUUGCCAGUGCAAAAUUAAUUUAAAUCAUUAUGCUUCUCGUUUGACUGCACGUGGUUUUGUAUAGGUAUAGACUGCUACACAAGUACAUGGCAAUUGUGACUGGAAGUAUUCUGUUUCCUUUCAUACAAACUCAGCAAAAUAAUGGUUUCUUCCUGAGCUUUGAAUAUGUUGAAUUUACAUAUAGACUUUCCACUGGAUUCCAUAGCAACUCCAGCCCCAGGCAUUGGGCAUCUCUGUGGGGAUGGAGACAGGCUGCCCUCAGCCCCAGCUGCCAAAUCCCACCACCCAGAGUCCGUGUGUUAGUCUCCUUCUCACACCUGGAAGGAAAUAAUAAAUAAAAGUAUAUUUAAAGUUCACAGGAGAUUUUGAUUCUCACUGAGAUACUGUAGACCAUGGAUAACAAAGGUAGUGCCUCCUCUGAACUCUCAUAUUUGUGUUUUGACAGAUGACAAAGCAUUUGAGUAAGAAGAGAGUCAUGAAUCCCUAUUAUCUCCAAAUUUAUCUAUUCUGUUUUACAUGCUGGCAUGUCACGAAACCAGUGAUUGCUGAAUCACAUUUCUAAACAUGAGACUUGAUAGCAGAGAACGCUACUAACAAGGUCCCGAGGUAGAGGAGAAAACUUUUAUUGUAAUAUGGUCUUCACAGUGCAUAUUUGUGAAAGAGAGAGAAAAACAACAUGGCAUGCCAACAUGGCAUACUUUGUUCUUUAAGAAGCUGUGAUAUUUAUGUGACUUUUUACAGGUAAGCAAAAGUGUCUGAAAACUCAUAAAUUCUCUUGUGUUUAUAAUCAAGUUAGCUUAUUAGCUUGCAGCCAAGGUAGCUCUUUUCCAGCGUUUUCUGUUCAAUCACUGGUGUUUCAAAGGGAGAAACUUAGGUCUCCAAGUCCUUUAGUGAGACCUCAGAAAAAUUCAGUCCACCAUACCUAGUGGCUGUGUAUUUUCACAAGGCCUUUAGAAACUCACUAGCUUUGAAAUCCCAGUCUUCUGUUCGCAGACUGAGCAGAUACUGAUAGUAUGGAGAGGCGUACAUAUCUGUGCCAGACACGACAGCAAAUGCUUUUUUUGCUUUGGGAUUCCAACUAACAACAAGAGUAUGAAGUUGUAAUUUAAUAGUGUGUUUUUUGUGGUUAUCAAAAGACAAUGCAGUAUUAAUUGUCAUAUGAUUGUAAUGCACAUGUGCAUACACAGACCAGAGUAGAAAUAUAGAUACAGUGGAAUGAUAGAAUCAGAGAAGGGCUGGAAGGGACCUUAAAGAUCAUCAUGAUGGUGAGAUGUCUUUGCUUCUAAGGACGCUAGUGCUGAGAUAACAUUCAUAAUGGCAAAGUUUAUAUGGCUGUCAGGAAAUAACCUGUAUCAUGCAGCAGUGUGAAACUAACAGACACACAAAGCUCUUAAAAUCCCUAGCGUAUCAUCUUGAGGACCGACGUGGAGGUCUCUUAAAGGAAUACACCAAGGAAUACAACUUCAAGAAUAAAAGGUCUCCUGAAAGACUUCGAGUUUUGUCAAACCAUCAUCUCACAAGGAUGAAGCUGUGAAAAGUCUGCCAAUGUGAAUGUCACUUGUUGCCUAAUUUGUCCCAAUUAUAAUUUUGAUUAACUAUUGAUAUUACAACUUCAUAAUGAGAGUGGUAAUUCAGAAACAUUAUGAAAUGACUUUUCUUAGCCCUUUUUUGAAGUAUUUCUAAAGCCUACAUAUGAGAAAUGAAAGUAUGAUCUUCUAAUGAAACUUACAUUCAUUACCCAGUGCUUCAUCUUGCACCUUCAUUUGUCAGAGAUUUCUUGCAGUGUGAUUGCUGUCUGCAGGAAACUCUUUCUUUGUAGGUAUUUGGCUUGAUUUCUAAUUAGCACAGUUAGUUAUUUGCACCUUGGCAUAAUCACGUGCUUAAAGGCAGUGAUGUAUUUUAGUUGUCUCUAUUUCACUGAGUUAAAUUGACACUAAUUUCUAAUAAAUCUAUGUAAAAAUGUAAUUACUGUUUUUAUCCUGAGCUGAGAAAAUGACGGCACUGAAGCAUUUCUUUUUUUUUUUUUCUGCCAGGCUUUUGAGAAGAUACAUGUGUGUACUUCUUAGCUAAUAUAUAUAUCAUUUUUUCCUCUGAGUGGCUGCCAUGUCAGGAAAUUCUUAGGUUUUUAGAGUUUUAAAUCUAUGUUUUUAAAUGUGUCUCAUGCUCCCUCUUCUCAAAUGCACUGCUUGAAAAUGAAUCUUGAGGAGCAAUAAGACCUUAAGUGUUGAAAAGAAUUUGAGUAACAUGACCUUUCCUAUUUUGACUUUCAGUUGCAAUCCUUACAUAGAUAAACUUUCCAAUGAUUACAUCUUCCUGUUUUGCCAUAAGUACAGCCUGAUACAAAAAAAAAAAAAAAAAAAAAAAAAAAUUAACAA